UCCGAUAUGGUGUAACGGCUAACAUCGCCGCCUUUCAGUCUUUAAAACAUGAAAGCAAGUUCCGCGGCAGCUCGGGGUUCGAUUCCCCGUAUCGGAG